rnacentral:rRNA from 1 species
UACGAAGGGGGCUAGCGUUGCUCGGAAUCACUGGGCGUAAAGGGUGCGUAGGCGGGUCUUUAAGUCAGGGGUGAAAUCCUGGAGCUCAACUCCAGAACUGCCUUUGAUACUGAAGAUCUUGAGUUCGGGAGAGGUGAGUGGAACUGCGAGUGUAGAGGUGAAAUUGUAGAUAUUCGCAAGAACACCAGUGGCGAAGGCGGCUCACUGGCCCGAUACUGACGCUGAUGCACGAAAGCGUGGGGAGCAAACAGG